AGAAACUCUCUUCAUUUUCUUCUAAGUUCCAAAACGAAAAAGAAUAACUGUGUAGGAAUAUAAAUAGGAAGAAGUUAUAUGUACUACUACCGUAUAUAGAUUCUUUUUACAUUACCAUGAAAUAUUACAUGUAACAGUAGUAAUUACUAUCAUCUUUACCAUAUUAGCAAUCGUUAUUUUCGUCCCUGUAACAUUAUUUGACCACAAACUUUCUCCAAUUAGACUUACAAGUGAUCUAAUUGUCGAAGAUGAUCUAAUUGUGUAAAUAUUUUUUAUACCAUUAGCACAUACAUACAAGUUUAGAUUCUUACUUUUUUAUGCUCUUUAGGCAUUAGGAACAUGACUAAUUUAAAGUAUGCAAAAUUUCACACCAUCUUAUCUUAUGUGUUACUGAAAGUUGCGGAAAUGCGAAUGCUGCGGUGGAUGUGUGGCCAUACUAGGAGGGAUAGAAUUAGGAAUGAAGAUAUCCAAAACAAGGUGGGAGUGGCAUCGGUGGAGGACAAGAUGCGGGAAGCGAGGCUGAGGUGGUUUGGGCAUGUGAAGAGGAGAGACACAGAUGCCCCAGUGCGGAGGUGUGAGAGGCUGGCUAUGGACGGUUUCAGGAGAGGCAAAGGGAGGCCGAAGAAGCAUUGGGGAGAGGUGAUUAGACAGGAUAUGACACAGUUUCAGCUCACCGAGGACAUGACCUUAGAUAGGAGGUUGUGGAGGACUCAGAUUAGGAUAGAAGGCUAGGUGACUUAUCCUUCCACCAUAGUAGUUGUAGUUCUGCUCAUUUGUUUAUUGCCAUUUGAUUUCUGCAUUUUAUUGCUGCUUAUAUUUGUGGGGCCGUUGUACUUUGAUUAUCUUAUUUAUUUAUAGUAAUUAAUGCUUCUUUCUUUCCGUACUGUUCUACCAUGACUUUCUCUCUUUUGUUAUUCCUUGUUUUCAUCUUGUUUUCGAUAUGCUUGUCCUUAUCUGACCUUUUAUCUUGUUUUCCUCUCUUGAGCCGAGGGUCUUUCGGAAACAACCGCCCUACCUUUCAAGGUGGGGGUUAGGUCUGCGUACACUCUACCCUCCCUAGAUCCACACGGUGGGAUUAUACUGGGUUUGUUGUUGUUGUUAUCUUAUGUGUUACUGUCUACAAGUCGAAAAAGGGAAUGUGGGGCGGAGCUAGAAUUUUAUGACUAUGAGUUUUGAUUUUUAAAAAAGGUAGCUUAUCGGUUCUGAAUAAAUAGUUUAUACAAUAUUAGGUAAUUUUUCUAAUCUUAAAAGGGAUAGUCGAGAUAGCUACUUGACACAGUCAUCAAUUUUUUUUUAAGAAAUAGUUCAAGCAUACAUCAAGAGAUACCCAUGGUCAGGAGCGAAGCUAGGAGCACAAGGGGUUCUUCUAAAUCUUCUUCGCAGGAAAGAAAAUUCUGACUCCGCCAUCGCUCAUAAUUACCAAAAGCAAGGUACAUGGGAGUGUGGGAAGGGAUAGUAAGCUAAGGAACAGCUUAAGAGUCUUGUUUUGAAAAUACCACGACUAUAUUAAAGCAUGUGUACACUAGAAUUUGAUAUGCAAAAACAAAAUUAAAAAAAAUAAAGUGGUACUGCGCCAGCAGCCCUAAUGAUGAAGGAUCACAAGUUUUUUGUAGUUUACUCUGACCAAUACUGACUAUGGUUUCACUGUUGAAUUAGUACACAACUACUUGAGACUCAAGGAGGGGAGUUGGACCAUGUCUAAAAUGGGACUCUUCCUUCAUUAAUUAUAACUUGUAAUUAUACAUCAGGCAGUCUGUACUUGAUAAGAAAAGUUCAGCAACAAUGCAUUGUUUUCAUGAACCCAUAUUCAAAAUUUGGUACCCUGGACAUAAACUGAUAGACAUCUCAAAUUUAAACAAGUCGGAAGUCUGCUAUGUGACGCCCAUGACAGAGGGAAGACUAGCGAGGGUUGGUCAAAAGAGAAGAACUGGUGGGCUACUGAAAAAAAGGUGCAUAUGAUGCCUUAGGCGAAUCCCACGUUGGAAUGAAAGAGGAGGUGAAGAGUUUUAUAAGGCUGGGCAAUCACUGGCUACUAAUGACAAUGCGGAUGAUGGACUGUGGAAAGAAAUAGCAGAAGAAGUCCAUAAAGAUGCUGACAGGCUCUUUAAAGUGAUAGGAGAGGCCUAUGAAGUGCUUUCGGACUCUGCAAAGCGCUCACGUUAUGACCUUGAAGAAGAGAUGAGAAAUAGUCAAAGCAGAGGCAAUGAGAGCAGCACAUUUAGAACACACACGGAGUUUAAUACUUCUCACUUUGAGAGAAGUGGAAGUAGAGGCCACUGGGAAGAUGUUUGGAGAGCAUAUAAGAGUACCCAGUCCAGAGAAUCGGACAGAAAUAGAACAAACUGGUAGUUGUGAUGAACUUGUGGUACUUUGAGCUUCAUACAAUUAGAUGCACCUUGUGUUCAGCAUUCUGCUUGCGUGUAUAGUCUGCAGUCACUGCCUUACAUGGGAGAAAUGACUUGCAGAACUUAAAAGAACAGUCAUGAAAUUUGUGGAUGAAGUAUUCAACAUACUGACACCUUGACCUUGGCCUUCCUGACUAGUUAUUCGAGCAGGUGCACGAAAAAAAAACUGUUGCAUAAACCUUGUUUGAGGAUUCUCAACAGUGGGUUUUUGAAGCUUGGAGAGAGAUUAGCAUCAAGCCGAACUCAAGCAUCCAGAUAUGUUUAGGCAACAAACAAGGAAGGCCUUCAUGAUUGCUGUUGUAUAGUUAUCGAACGUGUAUUAGUACAGAAGCUGUUCAUGGCCCUGGAAACCUUGCUAGUUUUGGUGCUAGCAGAGACCAACUCAACAGUUUGAGAAGGAUGCUGUGGAUGACCAAUUUUGCUGAGUCAAAUAUCUAUCAUUUGCUAUUCUAGUGUAGUUCUAUACUUGUAAUAUCGUUUGUGUACAGAAGUGUGUGUUUGUAUUUGAAAAGUCCUAAAAAUGAUAAGAGUGAGGUUACUUUUCUUCUUUGAUCUUUCUUCUUUUUCAUUU